rnacentral:lncRNA from 1 species
CCGUCCUCCCGCCGCCGUCCGGCCACCAACCGCCGCCGCACCGGUCCCGUUCGGUCGGUCUCCCUCCCAGCAACAUUUCUAGACCGGUGACAGCCUCCCUAGCGCCGUCGUGAGGGAGAAACGCCGCCUGAAAGCUCCGACUGCCGAAUCGGUUUUCUCGCCGGAACUCCCUUCUCCGGCUGCCAUAUCCGGCGAGCCUUAGCCCAAAAGGAAGCCCUCCUCCCGUGCUUCAAUCCCUCCAAAGGGCUAGCUCCGUCGUGAGCUAGGUAAGGAGAAAUGGGAACUUGAAAUUUCUAGGGCUUUUUGUGUAUUUGUGUUCGAUUGAUGUGCUUAGGCUUAGAAUUGGAGUUUGUGGUAGUUAGGAAUGUUGUAGAGGAGGUUGAGAGGAAGAUGCUGCCAAAAUUUGGUAGCAUUUGCAGGUCGCCGGAAAACGGCUGCCGGCAGCCGCCGCCGGUUAGGAGAUUUUUAGGGUUUUAAAUGUGGAAUAUUAAGAGGAGUAUAUUGGUGUGAUUUAUGGAAUUUUUGGAUGAGAUUUGGAUAGGUUUGUGAAUUUCCGAAGUUUGGUAUUUUUGGCGGUUAAUUAAUGUAGAAUCCGGCCGUAGGAUUUAAGUCGUAUUUUAGAGAGGUUGUAUUUACGACUGUUGAGUAUGAUAUUUAAGUUCGGAUCGUUCCGAUGUAAGAAUAUCGAAGUUAGGCAAUGAUGAGCGUAAUUAUGACUCUCGGGUAAUUUUGCCUAUUUUGAUUAAAUAUGGGAUUAUUGGUUGGGAAAUUAAUAUUUUAUUUGGAACAGGACGUGAGGAGACUCGAGCAGACGAGACCCCAGAUCGACGACAGGCUUAGGCCUAAUUUGUGAGUGGACGUUUAUUUUAAAUAAAUGCAUGCUAAAGUUCACGAUUGAAUAAUUAAUGUCGUGGAGUAUUUUGACGUCAUUUUAAUUUUUGACGAUUUUUAUUUCUCUUGGAGAGAUACCGAAAAUGGGAUUUUCGGUGGAUAUAAAUAUGUAUUUAUGAGAGAGUAUGUAUAUAAAAUGCUAGCUAGCCAUAUGUGUCUGUCCACCUUAAUGGCGUAGCAUAUAGCCGCAUUAUGGUGUGACGUGAGCGUUGGACGUAAGCGUAGUAGCC